UACGUAGGGUGCAAGCGUUAAUCGGAAUUACUGGGCGUAAAGCGUGCGCAGGCGGUUUUGUAAGUCUGUCGUGAAAGCCCCGGGCUCAACCUGGGAAUUACGAUGGAGACUGCAAGGCUUGAAUCUGGCAGAGGGGGGUAGAAUUCCACGUGUAGCAGUGAAAUGCGUAGAGAUGUGGAGGAACACCGAUGGCGAAGGCAGCCCCCUGGGUCAAGAUUGACGCUCAUGCACGAAAGCGUGGGGAUCAAACAGG
rnacentral:rRNA from 1 species